UACGUAGGGGGCAAGCGUUGUCCGGAUUUAUUGGGCGUAAAGAGCUCGUAGGUGGUUCGGUAAGUCGGAUGUGAAAUCUCCAGGCUCAACCUGGAGGGGUCAUUCGAUACUGCCGUGACUAGAGUUCGGUAGGGGAGUGUGGAAUUCCUGGUGGAGCGGUGAAAUGCGCAGAUAUCAGGAGGAACACCGGUGGCGAAGGCGGUUCUCUGGGCCUGUACUGACGCUGAGGAGCGAAAGCGUGGGGAGCGAACAGG
rnacentral:rRNA from 1 species